CCCUUAGAGUUUGAUCCUGGCUCAGAUUGAACGCUGGCGGCAUGCCUUACACAUGCAAGUCGAACGGCAGCGCGGGGCAACCUGGCGGCGAGUGGCGAACGGGUGAGUAAUAUAUCGGAACGUACCCUGGAGUGGGGGAUAACGUAGCGAAAGUUACGCUAAUACCGCAUACGAUCUAAGGAUGAAAGUGGGGGAUCGCAAGACCUCAUGCUCCUGGAGCGGCCGAUAUCUGAUUAGCUAGUUGGUGGGGUAAAGGCCUACCAAGGCAUCGAUCAGUAGCUGGUCUGAGAGGACGACCAGCCACACUGGAACUGAGACACGGUCCAGACUCCUACGGGAGGCAGCAGUGGGGAAUUUUGGACAAUGGGCGCAAGCCUGAUCCAGCAAUGCCGCGUGAGUGAAGAAGGCCUUCGGGUUGUAGAGCUCUUUUGUCAGGGAAGAAACGGUGAGGGCUAAUAUCCCUUGCUAAUGACGGUACCUGAAGAAUAAGCACCGGCUAACUACGUGCCAGCAGCCGCGGUAAUACGUAGGGUGCAAGCGUUAAUCGGAAUUACUGGGCGUAAAGCGUGCGCAGGCGGUUUUGUAAGUCUGUCGUGAAAUCCCCGGGCUCAACCUGGGAAUUGCGAUGGAGACUGCAAGGCUAGAGUCUGGCAGAGGGGGGUAGAAUUCCACGUGUAGCAGUGAAAUGCGUAGAGAUGUGGAGGAACACCGAUGGC
rnacentral:rRNA from 1 species